UACAGAGGGUGCGAGCGUUGUUCGGAAUCAUUGGGCGUAAAGCGCGUGUAGGCGGUCCGGUAAGUCCGCUGUGAAAGUCGGGGGCUCAACCCUCGGAUGCCGGUGGAUACUGUCGGGCUUGAGUACGGAAGAGGCGAGUGGAAUUCCUGGUGUAGCGGUGAAAUGCGCAGAUAUCAGGAGGAACACCAAUUGCGAAGGCAGCUCGCUGGGACGUUACUGACGCUGAGACGCGAAAGCGUGGGGAGCAAACAGG
rnacentral:rRNA from 1 species